rnacentral:lncRNA from 1 species
CGAACUUCGUGCGGUCUUUUGUUUGUUUUUCACCCUUUUUUUCUUCUCGGGAUGAUCAUCACGUGCUUCGCCUUUUUUCGUAUACUCUUUCCAAAAAUAAAUGAGAUGAAUUUAUAUAAAAAUGGAUGCAAAUCUAAGUUCUUUAUUUCCGGACGGACGGUUUGUCUUUUUUUAUUUGGACCGUGCACACACUGCUUUAUGUUUGUUCACAGGGCGGCAAGCAUAUCAAAAUCUUUAGCUUGUGUCACAAAUUGUAAAUUUUCAUAUCUAAAAAACUAAGCGAUAAAAUUUUAUAGCAGUAUCACGGCGUGUAUAUUGUUUUUUUUUACAAGACUACCUAAAAACUUACCUACUGAAGAACGCCGUGUAUAUUUCUGCAAUCGACGGU